AUACGGAGGGGGUUAGCGUUGUUCGGAAUUACUGGGCGUAAAGCGCACGUAGGCGGACUGAUCAGUUAGAGGUGAAAUCCCAGGGCUCAACCCUGGAACUGCCUUUAAUACUGUCAGUCUAGAGAUCGAGAGAGGUGAGUGGAAUUCCAAGUGUAGAGGUGAAAUUCGUAGAUAUUUGGAGGAACACCAGUGGCGAAGGCGGCUCAAUGGCUAGAUACUGACGCUGAGGUGCGAAAGCGUGGGGAGCAAACAGGAUUAGAAACCCUAGUAGUCC
rnacentral:rRNA from 1 species